ensembl:snoRNA small nucleolar RNA SNORD60
AGCCCUUGAUGACAAACCUUUUAUUUCUGACACCUCGUAUGAGAGCUAGUAAUAGCUCCAGUGAUUCUGUCUUUAUUCUGAGGCUC